rnacentral:lncRNA from 1 species
UAAAAAUAAUUAAGUAAUACUCUGAGCAUAACAGUUUUCAAAUAAGAACCAAAAUAUCAAUAAAACAAGUUGUUCCAUUACUAAUAUCCAAAACAUACAAAAAGUUUCAUGCAUCUCCAACAUACACAAAUCCAUUACUAAUAUCCAAAACAUACAAAAUGCUUCAUGCAUCUCCAACAUACACAAAUUGUUUAAUUAUACCACUUUUACGACUAGUUAUAAGAUUUCU